GACGUAGGGCGCGAGCGUUGUCCGGAUUUAUUGGGCGUAAAGAGCUCGUAGGCGGCUCGUUGCGUCAAUCGUGAAAACCUACUGCUUAACGGUGGGCUUGCGGUUGAUACGGGCAGGCUAGAGUUCGGCAGGGGAGACUGGAAUUCCUGGUGUAGCGGUGAAAUGCGCAGAUAUCAGGAGGAACACCGGUGGCGAAGGCGGGUCUCUGGGCCGAUACUGACACUGAGGAGCGAAAGCGUGGGGAGCGAACAGG
rnacentral:rRNA from 1 species